rnacentral:misc_RNA from 1 species
UUUUUUUUGUUUUCUGUUAUUUGACUCAUAUCUGGGUUUUUGUUGCUUUGAAUCGUAGCUGUUUUGGCAUGUUUAAUCUGCAAAUUUUUCUGGGCUUGAAUUAUAAUCUAAAUUAGGAUAUUAUUUAAUCAUAAAUUGUUGAAUUUAUGGUCUUAAAAGUUUAAAUUACAAAAAUGGUUGUUUAUUGAAGUUUCAGAUUGGAUAUUUUUGGGAAAUCUUUUCUGUUUCUUAAAGUUAAAUGUCCAACUUAGUCUUGAUGUAUUGACCUAAACUAAAAUAGAAAUUUUGCUAAAAUUCUUCUUUAAUAGCCUUACAUUGAACAUAUAGUCUUGCUUGACAAAAUCUUAAUGCUAGUUUAGAUGAGAUCAGUUGUAUGAAUUCUCCUGUGGACUUGCUGUCGAUCUUGAGAAGUGUUACACAUUAAGUUAGUGGGUGAUGUUAUCUUUGGUCAAACUGUGGGAGUGAUACUUGUGAUGCAUGAUGCAAUUUUAUGGUAAUGGAAUCAAAAGAUGUUUUGUUUCAAAUUCCAUGAGGCAUGCAGUGGCUGCAUUUCAGACAAUCUUGUUAGGAAGUUUGCUUGCACUGUUAUGACUUUUUAACUUCACAAUGUCAAAUCAUCAAGAGUAAUUUGUUUUAGAAGUUUAAGAUAGAGGGAAUAAGUGGAUGAACUUGAGGAAUUGAAGUCCAUGCUGACCUUCGUAUCUUCAAUUUGUUAAGAUGCUUGUUUGUUUCUAGUUCAAGAGUAAUGAACGAGUUUCAUUGUGUGCAGAUGGGACAAAAGGGAAGGAUUCAAUGUUUCUGCAAUUGAUGUGGUAAGUUGGUAAUUUAUCAUGGCUGGGUUGGAGGAAUUAAGGAAGAAGCUUGCACCCUUAUUUGAUGCUGACAAGGGCUUCUCUGUCGGGUCAACCUUAGACCCUAGUGAUUCUUAUAUGCUGUCAGAUGGUGGAACUGUUAACUUAUUAAGCAGAUCAUAUGGAGUGUACAACAUAAAUGAGCUGGGAUUGCAAAAGUGCACUUCUUCACCGGUAGAUGAAACAGACCACAGUGAGAAAACAUAUCGAUGUGCCUCCCAAGAGAUGAGAAUUUUUGGAGCUAUAGGUAGUGGUGCCAGCAGUGUUGUUCAGAGAGCUAUUCAUAUUCCUACACAUAGAAUUCUUGCCCUGAAGAAAAUUAAUAUUUUUGAAAAGGAGAAAAGACAACAGCUUCUUACUGAGAUACGGACACUGUGCGAGGCACCUUGUUAUGAGGGUCUUGUGGAAUUCCAUGGAGCAUUUUAUACUCCUGACUCUGGGCAAAUAAGCAUAGCUCUAGAAUACAUGGAUGGAGGUUCAUUAGCAGACAUGUUACGAGUGCGUAAAAGGAUACCAGAACCAGUGCUUUCACAUAUGUUUCAAAAGCUUCUUCAUGGUCUAAGCUACUUGCAUGGGGUUAGACAUUUGGUUCACAGAGAUAUAAAACCAGCAAAUCUGCUUGUGAAUCUCAAGGGGGAGCCAAAAAUAACAGAUUUUGGCAUAAGUGCUGGCCUAGAGAAUUCAAUGGCGAUGUGCGCUACUUUUGUUGGGACUGUCACAUACAUGUCACCUGAGCGAAUUCGAAAUGACAGCUAUUCUUAUCCAGCUGAUAUUUGGAGCCUUGGUCUUGCUCUCUUUGAGUGUGGCACAGGGGAGUUCCCAUACACAGCUAAUGAGGGACCUGUCAACCUUAUGUUGCAGAUCUUGGAAGAUCCAUCGCCAUCACCGUCCAAACACAAAUUUUCUCCUGAGUUCUGCUCAUUUAUUGAUACUUGCCUCCAGAAGGAUCCUGAUGCUAGGCCAACAGCAGAGCAGCUUCUUUCACACCCAUUUAUCAUGAAGUAUGCUCACACUAGUGUAGACCUGGCAUCAUAUGUCCAAAGCGUUUUUGAUCCAACACAAAAAAUGAAGGAUUUGGCAGAUAUGCUGACGAUACACUAUUACUUACUUUUUGAUGGCCCGGAUGAGCUUUGGCAGCACGCAAAGACAUUAUAUAAUGAAGGCUCAACUUUUAGGUACUAAACUAUGAAACUGUAUAUUCUUGUCUUUUUCAUGAAACUUUAGAAAGGACAUGAAUCCUAAGGGAACCAUAUUUUUGUAGAAAACACUUUCUGAGAUAGCUAAUUAUCUUUUAGUUUGUAUUUAAUGUUUUUUAUUUUUAUAACACAAAAUCAAGAAAGAAACUGAUUUCUGACAUUUGGAAUGCAAUGGAAAAAAAAUUAAUUUCCUUUAACAAAGAAGAUUAUGAGAACAUCUGAAUAUUAAGGACUUGCAUAGAGGAGUCUACAGGCUAAAUUUUGGCACUUGUUGCCAACUGGCAUUAGUCAACAACCAAAGGUUAUUGCUGAGAAUGGUCAAUGGACUAAUAGAUGCAUAACUAAGUGAAUUUUUUUGUGAUUUCUUAUCCGUUUUUGAGAGUUUGUAGACGUCAAAAAUAAAAGUACUUCCAUUCAAAGUGGGAGUCAUUUUCCUUGAAGAAUGUUUAGUUUUCAUCUAAACAACAAAAAUAUUUUUAGUUGAACAACUUUUCCCCGUAGCAAAAAAGGAAAAAAAAUUCUAAAAUAUAUUUUCUGCAAAACAAACAGAGCUGUGGUCUUAUAUUACAUUUAAUAUUUGAAACUGCCACUCAGUUGUGUUUUCUUGCCUUUUAUAUAGGCUAAGAUAAACUUUUGCUCCUUUCUAGUUUCUCUGGGAAACAGUCUGUUGGUCCUAGAGAUAUCUUUGCAACCUUGUCAAACAUCCGGAGCACAUUAGCUGGUGAUUGGCCUCCUGAAAGACUUGUUCACAUUGUGGAAAAACUGCAGUGCCGUGCUCAUGGUCAAGAUGGAGUUGCAAUCCGCGUAUCCGGUUCCUUUAUAAUUGGAAAUCAGUUCCUCAUAUGUGGGGAUGGUUUGCAAGUAGAGGGAUUGCCAAAUGUUAAAGAUCUUUCAAUUGACAUUCCCAGUAAGCGCAUGGGCACAUUUCAGGAACAGUUUAUCAUGGAACCAGGAAAUGUCAUUGGACGUUACUUCAUAGCUAAACAAGAUCUUUAUAUCGUCCAGUAGAAUAACUGCAAAUGAGAAUUAUGUCCUCCAAGGUUAGUAUAUUCAACAGUGCUUUGCGAGUUUGUAUGGUCAUGCAAUUUCCAUUGUCGUUACUUUGGUGGUUGCUAUCUGCUAUGCUUGAUGUAGGUAUUUUUCCUGCAACGAAAUUUCUUAUUUCCUCUCUAUUCUAAGCUAACUUGUUACGUAUUUUGAGUUCUUUUAAUCACUUUUAAUUGUAGAUUAUGUACUUUUAUCAGAUACCUUGCAUUUUUUUUGUUUGACAGAUAUUUAACCAUUACUACAGCAAGAAAUCUAAGCGGUUAAGCUUAUGGGUCUACAUUUGCCGACAAUUCAUCAUCUAAUAUAUAGAACCACUGUAUGUGCCAAGUUCCUGUCAAGUGCAACGAUUGCCAUGAUUGUAUGGCCAAGGUAAUUUUCAUCUUUGUCUAAACUUGAAUGUAUUAUUGCAUAUGAGAUGCACAAGGACUAAUUGCAAAUUGCAAAUUGGGAUUGAUCAAAUGAACUUACCAUUAAGAAUGCCUACAUAUUUGUAUUGUAAAAU